rnacentral:misc_RNA from 1 species
UAAUAAUAAUAAUAAUAAUUUAAAUAUGUUUAUGAUAAUUUAAAAUAAUUAUUUAAUAAUUUAUUUUUAAGUGGAUUUGAUAUGUGUAAUUAAUGGAUUUUCUCUCCACCAUUACCAAUCCUGUUUUUUUAAAAUAAUAAGAAAAAAGAAAAAUAAUUUCGGAUGUAUAGAGAUGUGUAAUCUCAAGUGACCUCGAAGGAUGAGUGACAAACAAACCAUCUGACCGUCCACGUGGUCGAGAGCCACGUGUUUACUAGUGACCAAGCAGCAAUUCCCUAAAUAUCUGCCACGCAUAUGGCUUAACUUCACUGAUGCUGGGUCACACUUAAACCCAGUUCUUGAUUGCACAUGCAUGACUACGUGGCAGUCAUACAAUAAUUUUAAUGUGUCCCACCCACCCACAAGCAACAAAAUUUCCCUUGAUCACGGCCGCACGAUCAGACCCUGCCAAAAUAUGCGUAUUAUGAUUGUAGAAUCAUGCCCGUAGCUGAACUACUAAAAACAGCCUUUACCACAAAUAAUUGUAUUUGCGUCUGAAUAUCAAAUGAGUUUUUUUUUUAAUUAAUUUUGAUUAAAAUUAAAAUUUAAAAUUUUCUAAAAAAAAUUUUCAAUUUUUUUAGAUCGGAACCUCUUAAUUUUAAAGACAACCUUCAAUAUAUCAUAUUUUAAAGAAAUUUUAAAAUUUAUUAAUAAAUUAAAUGAUUUUUUUUUGUUUUAAUUAAUUAAUCAAAGAAAUAGAAUUGUAUGCGUCGUCUAAAUUUGGCAGCAAGAUUAAAAAAAAUACAAAAUCAUUUGCAAUUAACUGGGGUCAGAAUCAUCUAUUUUCCUAUAAUUUAUGUAGUUUCUCUGUUUAUCCAGAAAUUACUGAUUGAUCAAUUUUUUUUGGCCAGCAUAGACUAGCAGUUACCUCUUUAGAUUAGAGCCUAGACUACCGUACGUGAUCAGGGGCGUGAAAGUGAAAACAAGUCCACUGUAUUGCAUAAUUUACCUGGGCUGCAGCAUGGACUCGCUGUGGUGGGUGUAGGCCAACUGCGCGUUAUCUCCGAUCUGUAAGGAUACAGAGGAGGGGUUGGUGUCGACGAAGCGCUUCACCAGCGCAUCCGACGUUAUCUUUGGAGAUGGCGUCCGGCAUCCUGCCGCCACCAGCUCGUCCGGCGGAGAAACGAUGGCGCCGCUAAACACACCCAACAUCUCAAAUCCUCCUGGCGCUUGAAAAGAAAAGAAAAGAAGAAAAAAUCGAAGCGAAGUGAAAUAAUCUGACUCCGGCUUUAACUAAGAGAUUUCACAGAGCUGGAACAAAGUC